UCUUGACCUCAGAUCAGGCAAGGCUACCCGCUGAAUUUAA
rnacentral:rRNA from 4 species